rnacentral:rRNA from 1 species
CCGAAAGAUGGUGAACUAUGCCGGAGUAGGGCAAAGCCAGAGGAAACUCUGGUGGAGGCUCGUAGCGAUGCUGACGUGCAAAUCGCUCGUCGAACUUGGGUAUAGGGGCGAAAGACUAAUCGAACCAUCUAGUAGCUGGUUCCCUCCGAAGUUUCUCUCAGGAUAGCGGGCCGACACGCGUUUGUUGUUUUGUGCGGUAAAGCGAAUGAUUAGUGCAUUCGGGGUACGAAGUACUUCGGGCGAUUCUCAAACUUUAAAUGCGCAAGGGGGUGGCUGCUUAAUUGAGCCUACUCUUUGAAAAACGUCGGCCCUGUGGGCCACUUUUGGUAAGCAGAACUGGCGAUAAGGGAUGAACCUUAAGCGCGGUUAAGGCGCCUCAUUACCCGCUUAUAGACCCCACAAAAGGUGUUGAUUCAUAUAGACAGCAGGACGGUGGCCAUGGAAGUCGGAAUCCGCUAAGGAGUGUGUAACAACUCACCUGCCGAAUGAAUUAGCCCUGAAAAUGGAUGGCGCUAAAGCGGGUAGCCGACACCGCGCCGUUCCGGCGAGACGAGGCCGGGAUGAGUAGGAGGGCGUGGCGGUCAGUGAAGCAGGCUAGGGUGCAGACCCAGCUGAAACGGCCGCUAGUGCAGAUCUUGGUGGUAGUAGCAAAUAUUCAAGCGAGAUCCUUGAAGGGCGAAGCGGGGAAAGGUUCCACGCAAACAUUGAUUGGGCGUGGGUGAGUCGUUCCUAAGCCGAGUGGCAAUUGCUAAGUAGCGGCGAAAGGGAAGCGGGUUAAAAUUCCCGCACACGGAUAUGGAGGCGGCGACGCAAGCAGAGGCGAAUACGCUGGCCGAGGCGCUGGGCAGAGUUGUCUUUUCUGUUUGACCGGCAUCGCGCUGUGUGGAAUCCGCUUAUCGGGAGAAACACGCGCGGGUAUGGGCAGAGCGUCAAGUUUUUUUUGGCGUCCAGCUCGCCUCGGACGGCCCCUGAAAAUUCGCCCGCGAACUUUAAAAAUUUCAUGCUGUGACGUACCGAUAUCCGCAUCAGGUCCCCAAGGUGAACAGCCUCUGCUCAAUAUGAACAAUGCAGGUAAGGGAAGUCGGCAAAAUAGAUCCGUAACUUUGGGAAAAGGGUUGGCUCUAGUGGGAUGAAGGUCUUCAAAGGGGGCUUCGCUGUGCUUGGCGUCUGACGGGAGUGGCUAGCUUUCGGGCUGGAUGCUUCUGUUGGAUGCCUUGCGUGGGGGAUGUUUCUCGCCUUCAGCAUAUCCCAGACUAGAACUGCAACGGGCAAAGGGAAUCCGACUGUUUAAUUAAAACAAAGCAUUGCGAAGGCCGUGGCCGGUGUUGACGCAAUGUGAUUUCUGCUCAGUGCUCUGAAUGUCAAAGUGAAGAGAUUCAAUCAAGCGCGGGUAAACAGCGGGAGUAACUAUGACUCUCUUAAGGUAGCCAAAUGCCUCGUCAUCUAAUUAGUGACGCGCAUGAAUGGAUUAACGAGAUUCCUACUGUCCCUAUCUGCUUCUAGCGAAACCACAGCCGAGGGAACGGGCUCGGCGGAAUCGGCGGGGAAAGAAGACCCUGUUGAGCUUGACUCUAUUCUAAUUUUGUGAAGCAAGUUAGGAGGUGUAGAAUAGGUGGGAGCUUCGGCAACCGUGAAAUACCACUACUCUUAAUCUUGCUUUACUUAGGGCGUGAGGCUGUGCGGCCGCAAGGCUUGCUUAUUGCAUCAAGCGUGAUUCGUUCGCGUGAACAGCGCGCCCAACACAUUUAGGAGGGGAGUUUGGCUGGGGCGGCACAUCUUCUACAAGACAACGAAGGUGUCCAAAGAUAAGCUCAGUGAGAACAGAAAUCUCACGUAGCGCAAAAGGGUAAAAGCUUGUUUGAUUUUGAUUUUCAGUGUGAGUUGAAAACGCGAAAGCGUGGCCUAUCGAUCCUUUCACGAUUCGAGAUUUGAAGCGAGAGG